CCACAUCACGUUGAAACACCGAUUCUCGUACGUCGUACGAUCAUCGAAGUUAAGCAACGUUGAGCCUAGUCAGUACCUAGAUGGGUGACUGCUUGGGAAUACCAGGUGCUAUA